rnacentral:rRNA from 1 species
UACGAAGGGGGCUAGCGUUGCUCGGAAUCACUGGGCGUAAAGGGCGCGUAGGCGGCCAUUCAAGUCAGAGGUGAAAGCCCAAGGCUCAACCUUGGAAUUGCCUUUGAUACUGUUUGGCUUGAGACCGGAAGAGGUAAGUGGAACUGCGAGUGUAGAGGUGAAAUUCGUAGAUAUUCGCAAGAACACCAGUGGCGAAGGCGGCUCACUGGCCCAUAACUGGCGCUGAGGCACGAAAGCGUGGGGAGCAAACAGG